rnacentral:rRNA from 1 species
UGGGGAAUAUUGCACAAUGGGCGCAAGCCUGAUGCAGCCAUGCCGCGUGUAUGAAGAAGGCCUUCGGGUUGUAAAGUACUUUCAGCGGGGAGGAAGGUGUUGUGGUUAAUAACCACAGCAAUUGACGUUACCCGCAGAAGAAGCACCGGCUAACUCCGUGCCAGCAGCCGCGGUAAUACGGAGGGUGCAAGCGUUAAUCGGAAUUACUGGGCGUAAAGCGCACGCAGGCGGUCUGUCAAGUCGGAUGUGA